rnacentral:rRNA from 1 species
GUGGGGAAUUUUGGACAAUGGGCGCAAGCCUGAUCCAGCAAUGCCGCGUGCAGGAAGAAGGCCUUCGGGUUGUAAACUGCUUUUGUACGGAACGAAAAGGUCUGGGUUAAUACCCUGGGCUCAUGACGGUACCGUAAGAAUAAGCACCGGCUAACUACGUGCCAGCAGCCGCGGUAAUACGUAGGGUGCAAGCGUUAAUCGGAAUUACUGGGCGUAAAGCGUGCGCAGGCGGUUGUGUAAGACAGGCGUGAAAUCCCCGGGCUCAACCUGGGAAUGGCGCUUGUGACUGCACAGCUGGAGUGCGGCAGAGGGGGAUGGAAUUCCGCGUGUAGCAGUGAAAUGCGUAGAUAUGCGGAGGAACACCGAUGGCGAAGGCAAUCCCCUGGGCCUGCACUGACGCUCAUGCACGAAAGCGUGGGGAGCAAACAGGAUUAGAAACCCUGGUAGUCC